UACGUAGGGGGCGAGCGUUGUCCGGAUUUACUGGGCGUAAAGCGCGCGUAGGCGGAAGUUUAAGCGGUGCCUGAAAGCCCCCGGCUCAACCGGGGAGGGCGGUGCCGAACUGGGCUUCUUGAGGGCGACAGAGGAGAGUGGAAUUCCGGGUGUAGCGGUGAAAUGCGUAGAUAUCCGGAGGAACACCAGUGGCGAAGGCGGCUCUCUGGGUCGGCCCUGACGCUGAGGUGCGAAAGCGUGGGGAGCGAACGGG
rnacentral:rRNA from 1 species